AUUAGCAGCAAUACAGUUCAGACUAGGUAAGUUAAGCAAGUUAAGCAACUUUGGGCCUGGCCAGUACCUUGAUGGGAGACCAACUAGGAAAGCUGGGUUGCUGCUGGAA
rnacentral:rRNA from 1 species